GGGCCUUGUGAAAUUUCCCUAUCCAUGCUGGCCAGUCAACUGGUGUUGCCACUGCACAGGUCUUGUUUAGUGUACACGGAGCCUUUGGGUACUGUGAGAGCUAUUUCUCCUGGAGGAGGUGGUUCAUGUUACCGGGACCUGGUUUGCUUCUCCUAAACAAUGUACACUGCAUUGCUGAAAGAAUGGUUCCUAUCAAAAAGACUGAUGAUAACAAGAGCUGGCGAGGAUGUGGAAUGCUGUGCACACUGUUGGAAGGAGCGUAAGUCAGCAAAGCUAUUACA